rnacentral:lncRNA from 1 species
CUCGGCCGUCUUCUCUAGGAGAGAAAAUAUUCGUGCCAUAUAGCGUGUUCUAAGAGUUCUCACCAGAAGCCCAGAAAGUUCUGUAUUUACUCAGCAUUCAAGGGAAAACAGACCCUGUAUUUUUGGGAUUCCUGAAAGGUGACCAGGUGAGAGCAAAGCCCAACUUCCUGGGGAAAAGCUCUCAGCGCAGUGAAUGCUACAUUCGGAGGUAGGAAGACUCUGGAUGUGAACUACUUCGUGUUUGCUUUUUGUUUUUUGUUUUUUUUUUUCUCUAAAAUUACCAAAAAAAGAGGAAUAUCCACAGAAGCAGAAGUAGGAAUGGGGAAGGAGGGGACAAGUUUAGACCAAGCUCUUCUGUGACCUCACUUCUGCUUUUGAAGUCCCACAGCUCUAUAAGCCUCGUCCCAUCUCAGUGCUUU